rnacentral:rRNA from 1 species
GACGAACGCUGGCGGCGUGCUUAACACAUGCAAGUCGAACGGAAAGGCCCUGCUUUUGUGGGGUGCUCGAGUGGCGAACGGGUGAGUAACACGUGAGUAACCUGCCCUUGACUUUGGGAUAACUUCAGGAAACUGGGGCUAAUACCGGAUAGGAGCUCCUGCUGCAUGGUGGGGGUUGGAAAGUUUCGGCGGUUGGGGAUGGACUCGCGGCUUAUCAGCUUGUUGGUGGGGUAGUGGCUUACCAAGGCUUUGACGGGUAGCCGGCCUGAGAGGGUGAUCGGCACAUUGGGACUGAGAUACGGCCCAGACUCCUACGGGAGGCAGCAGUGGGGAAUAUUGCACAAUGGGCGGAAGCCUGAUGCAGCAACGCCGCGUGCGGGAUGACGGCCUUCGGGUUGUAAACCGCUUUCGCCUGUGACGAAGCGUGAGUGACGGUAAUGGGUAAAGAAGCACCGGCUAACUACGUG